rnacentral:lncRNA from 1 species
UAGAAAUAAAAUAGAACUGAUGAUUUGAUUUAGUAGAGCGAUUAUAAAAUUGAUUCAAUAUCUAAAAUUGAUUCAAAUUUGGUAGUAAAAGAAGGACCUAUUUUUAUAUUGAGCAGAGUGGAGAGCGGAGAUGGGCAGGCAAUCUACUGCGCCGGUGAAGUUAAAUAAACAGAAAAAGAAAAAAAGAAACGUCAAGGCGGGGAAUCGGCAGGGAAUGCGCAUGUGCAGCUCGCCAACCAUACUUGUCUUGUGCGACAAAACCCGCCUCCAUUCCCAACUCUCUGUUCUGACGCGUUUCCUU